GAUGAACGCUGGCGGCGUGCUUAACACAUGCAAGUCGAACGAAGAGGGUUAGAAUGAGAGCUUCGGCAGGAUUUCUUUCCAUCUUAGUGGCGGACGGGUGAGUAACGUGUGGGCAACCUGCCCUGUACUGGGGAAUAAUCAUUGGAAACGAUGACUAAUACCGCAUGUGGUUCUCGGAAGGCAUCUUCUGAGGAAGAAAGGAUUUAUUCGGUACAGGAUGGGCCCGCAUCUGAUUAGCUAGUUGGUGAGAUAACAGCCCACCAAGGCGACGAUGCAUAGCCGAGUUGAGAGACUGAUCGGCCACAUUGGGACUGAGACACGGCCCAA
rnacentral:rRNA from 1 species